CGUACUAACUUGCGAUAAGCGCAGAUAAGGCAGUAAGAGCCGUUUGAGUCUGCGAUUUCCGAAUGGGGAAACCCAACUGCAUAAGCAGUUACUGUUAACUGAAUACAUAGGUUAACAGAGCAAACCGGGGGAACUGAAACAUCUAAGUACCCCGAGGAGAAGAAAUCAACCGAGAUUCCGGUAGUAGCGGCGAGCGAACCUGGAUUAGCCCUUAAGCACUCGGUGAAGUAGGUGAACAAGCUGGAAAGCUUGGCGAUACAGGGUGAUAGCCCCGUAACCGACGC
rnacentral:rRNA from 1 species